NNNNNGGUUGAUUCUGCCUGACGUAGAACGCUAGUCUCACAGAUUCAGCCAUGCAAGUAGUAUGUAUGUAAUACACAAUGGCUCAGUAUCGAGUAUAGCUUUGCUCUCCAAGAUGUGAUACUUUCAGGAAACAGAAAAUAAAGCAUCUAUCUUCUAAAGUUUUUUAGAGGAGAGGAGAAGAAGCACUCACCUAUCAGUUAGUAGGUAUGGUAAGGGCAUACCUAGACGAAGACGGGUACGGGGAAGGCAACUUCGAUUCCGGAGAGGGCGCCUUUAGAGAUGGCGACCAGUUCUAAGGAGUGCAGCAGGCUCGAAACUUACCGAAUUAUAGAAUAGAGGUAGUGAUGGAAACGUUUAUAUAGAAAUACUGGUAAAGCAAGUAUUAUUAACUGAGGAAAGCUGGUGCCAGCAGCCGCGGUAAUACUUGCUCCAGGAGCUUAUUCGAUAUGUUGCGGUUAAAACGUCCGUAGUCGCGGCUGGGACUGACCUGUAAUCUAUUUGGUCAACAGAUAGAUAGGGGCAGUAGCAAGUUGGAAAAGAGCAAUUUGGUGUCAGCUAAUGGUAUGGGGAGGGGUAAAGUCUGAGGAUCCUGCAGGAGGAGCAAAGGCGUAAGCACUGACAAAGAUUGAUUCUGUUGAUCAAGGACAGAGGCUAGAGGAUCGAAUACGAUUAGAUACCGUAGUAGUUCUAGCAGUGACCGAUGAUGAUUUUGCCUUAUGCAAUAGAGAAAUCAAAAUAGAUCUCCGGGGAGUACAUGCGCACAGGAACUUAAGAAUUGACGGAAGCUAGCCACAAGGGUUGGAUUGUGCGGCUUAAUUUGACUCAAAGCGGAAAAGCUUACCAAGCUUAUUUAUUCAACGAGUAUUUAUCCGAGAGUAAAAUGGUGUGCAUGGCCGUUCCUAACACAUGGAGUGAUUUUGUGAUUAACCUUCCGUAAUCUGUGUAAAUCCUCAUAAUAGCUUGUUUGAAAAGAACAAUUCGAGCAAGAACAGGUCAGUGAUGUCCUUUGAUAGCUUGGGCUGCACGCGCAAUACAAUUUUUAUGUAGUAAGAUAUAGAUAGGGAUUGAGGGCUGAAAGCGCUCAUGAACACGGAAUAGCUAGUAACGUGAGUUCAAUAUACGGCGAUGAAUAUGUCCCUGUUCUUUGUACACACCGCCCGUCGUUAUCGAAGAUGGAGUGAUUUUUGAGUCAAUUAUAAUUGGCUACUUGAAUGAGUUAUUCUAAAACCGGUACAAGUCGUAACAAGGCUACGGUUGAAGAAUCAGCAGUAGGAUUAGCG
rnacentral:rRNA from 12 species